rnacentral:lncRNA from 1 species
AAAAAAUUCAUUACAAAGCCCUAAAAACACAGCAUUUCUCCCAUUCUCUUUUCCCCAUCGACUUCGCCUCUCCAUGAUUUCCCCUGGUGCUUCAGUUCUCACUCUCUCUCUCUCCACCUUCCACGGUCGACCACAGGCGCCUUAGCUCACUCUCGUCUCUCUCCAGCUUCCACCGUCGACCGACGGCGCCUCAGCCCUCACUCUCGUUUCUCUCCUCCUUCCACCGACGCCGUUCACUCUCGUCGCUCGCCUCCCAGGACACAAAUCAUUCACGUACGUUGUCUAUGCACAUUUAUUUAUUGUUCAUUUGAG